UGGGGGACGACAUUUCAAAAGGGAUGCUAAUACCGCACACGUCCUACGGGAGAAAGCAGGGGAUCUUCGGACCUUGCGCUAAUAGAUGAGCCUAAUCGGAUUAGCUAGUUGGUGGGGUAAAGGCCUACCAAGGCGACGAUCUGUAGCGGGUCUGAGAGGAUGAUCCGCCACACUGGGACUGAGACACGGCCCAGACUCCUACGGGAGGCAGCAGUGGGGAAUAUUGGACAAUGGGGGGAACCCUGAUCCAGCCAUGCCGCGUGUGUGAAGAAGGCCUUAUGGUUGUAAAGCACUUUAAGCGAGGAGGAGGGUACUGGUAUUAAUACUACCAGGUACUGGACGUUACUCGCAGAAUAAGCACCGGCUAACUCUGUGCCAGCAGCCGCGGUAAUACAGAGGGUGCGAGCGUUAAUCGGAUUUACUGGGCGUAAAGCGUGCGUAGGCGGCUAAUUGAGUCGGAUGUGAAAUCCCCGAGCUUAACUUGGGGAAUUGCAUUCGAUACUGGUUAGCUAGAGUGUGGGGAGAGGAUGGUAGAAUUCCAGGUGUAGCGGGUGAAAUGCGUAGAGAUCUGGGAGGAAUACCGAUGGCGAAAGCAGCCAUCUGGCCUAACACUGACGCUGAGGUACGAAAAGCAUGGGGGAGCAAACCGGAUUAGAUACCCCUGGGUAGUCCAUGCCGUAAACCAAUGUCUACUAGCCCUUUGGGUCUUCUUUUAAGGGAUUAAUUGCCGCCACCUAAGCCGAAUAAAGUAGACCGUCCGGGGGAGAUACCGGUCGCCAGAACUUAAAAACCUUAAAUUGAAAUUUGACGGGGGCCCCCCACAAACCCGGUGGGAGCAUGGUGG
rnacentral:rRNA from 1 species